CAGGCCUAACACAUGCAAGUCGAGGGGCAGGAGACCACUUCGGUGGUGCUGGCGACCGGCGCACGGGUGAGUAUCGCGUUUGUAACCUACCCUUAACUGGGGAAUAGCCCAAAGAAAUUCGGAUUAAUACCCCAUUAAAUUUUAGCACGGCAUCGUGCUUCCAUUAAAGCUUCGGCGGUUAAGGAUGGGCAUGCGUGACAUUAGUUUGUUGGUGAGGUAACGGCUCACCAAGACUACGAUGUCUAGGGGGUCUGAGAGGAUGAUCCCCCACACUGGUACUGAGACACGGACCAGACUCCUACGGGAGGCAGCAGUGAGGAAUAUUGGGCAAUGGACGCAAGUCUGACCCAGCCAUGCCGCGUGCAGGAUGACGGCGCUAUGCGUUGUAAACUGCUUUUAUACAGGAAGAAACCCUCCUACGUGUAGGAGGUUGACGGUACUGUAAGAAUAAGCAUCGGCUAACUCCGUGCCAGCAGCCGCGGUAAU
rnacentral:rRNA from 1 species